rnacentral:rRNA from 1 species
CUGGCUCAGGACGAACGCUGGCGGCGCGCCUAACACAUGCAAGUCGAACGGACUUGGAGAGCUUGCUCUUAAGUUAGUGGCGGACGGGUGAGUAACACGUGAGCAACCUGCCUUUCAGAGGGGGACAACAGUUGGAAACGACUGCUAAUACCGCAUAAGACCACGGGAUGGCAUCAUUCUGCGGUCAAAGAUUUAUCGCUGAAAGAUGGGCUCGCGUCCGAUUAGAUAGUUGGUGAGGUAACGGCCCCACCAAGUCGACGAUCGGUAGCCGGACUGAGAGGUUGAACGGCCACAUUGGGACUGAGACACGGCCCAGACUCCUACGGGAGGCAGCAGUGGGGGAUAUUGGACAAUGGGGGCAACCCUGAUCCAGCGACGCCGCGUGAGGGAAGAAGGUUUUCGGAUUGUAAACCUCUGUUGACAGGGAAGAAAAUGACGGUACCUGUUUAGAAAGCCACGGCUAACUACGUGCCAGCAGCUGC